rnacentral:tRNA from 1 species
AAUGAAGUGCCUGACUAAAGGAUUAUUUUGAUAGAAUAAAUUAAGUAUUAAAUAAUGCCUUCAUUA